rnacentral:lncRNA from 1 species
AGGAUGAAGCUAAAAUUGGUCUAUGCAGAGUUAAUCAACUUCAUACAGUUUUCAUAAAUCAGAUUCGUGAGAAUUAAAAAGAAUAUCACACUGAAAGUCAACAAUUUCUGAAGACCUUUCCCCUUAUAUGAUUUCAGCCAAGAACUCCUAUAAAAUUUCAUAACCAAGUCAAGCAGACUAAUCAUUUACCAAGACUUACUAAAUGCAUUGAAGGUUAAAGUUUGGAAACCUAUAAGGUGCAUAAAUUCAAUGAGACAAUGGCUUAAUAAACAAGACCUCACUUUUCUUACCUGCUAACUAAAAAUGUGUAUAUUACAAUAAUACAUAUAUCAAGGGAGCCAUACUCACCAAAUACAGUUUUAGGAAUCAGUUGCAAAGGAUAAGAG